GACGAACGCUGGCGGCGUGCUUAACACAUGCAAGUCGAACGGAAAGGCCCUGCUUUUGUGGGGUGCUCGAGUGGCGAACGGGUGAGUAACACGUGAGUAACCUUCCCUUGACUUUGGGAUAACUUCAGGAAACUGGGGCUAAUACCGGAUAGGAGCUCCUGCUGCAUGGUGGGGGUUGGAAAGUUUCGGCGGUUGGGGAUGGACUCGCGGCUUAUCAGCUUGUUGGUGGGGUAGUGGCUUACCAAGGCUUUGACGGGUAGCCGGCCUGAGCGGGUGACCGGCCACAUUGGGACUGAGAUACGGCCCAGACUCCUACGGGAGGCAGCAGUGGGGAAUAUUGCACAAUGGGCGGAAGCCUGAUGCAGCAACGCCGCGUGCGGGAUGACGGCCUUCGGGUUGUAAACCGCUUUCGCCUGUGACGAAGCGUGAGUGACGGUAAUGGGUAAAGAAGCACCGGCUAACUACGUG
rnacentral:rRNA from 1 species